CAAUAGCGUAUAUUAAAGUUGUUGCAGUUAAAAAGCUCGUAGUUGGAUUUCUGGUGGGAGCGAUCGGUCUGGCGCUUAGCGCGAGUACUUGCAUCGUCUCCGGCCAUCCUUGGGGAGAGUCUGUCUGGCAUUAGGUUGUCGGUCAGAGGAUCCUCAUCGUUUACUGUGAAAAAAUUAGAGUGUUCAAAGCAGGCUUAUGCCGUUGAAUAUAUUAGCAUGGAAUAAUAAGAUAGGACUUUGGUACUAUUUUGUUGGUUUGCGCACCAAAGUAAUGAUUAAUAGGGACAGUUGGGGGUAUUCGUAUUCCGUUGUCAGAGGUGAAAUUCUUGGAUUUACGGAAGACGAACUACUGCGAAAGCAUUUACCAAGGAUGUUUUCAUUAA
rnacentral:rRNA from 1 species